GUGAUGUAUACAGAUUAAUUUUCAAAUGUGAAACUAAACUGAAAUCAACCCAAUUUGGUCAUAAUCCAUUAUUUUGUAUAUGUAUGUAUAUACAUAUAGAUUACAUACAGGAUAAUCUAUUCUAUAUAUAGUAUGUAUAUAUGUAUAUACGCAAAAAUCCUAAACAAAAUUCUAGCAAACUAAACCCAUACUCAUUAAGAGCCAAUGUGCAGGACUUCCCUGGUGGCUCAGUUGUAAAGAAUUUGUGAGCCGAUGCAGGAGAUAUUGAGUUCGAUCCCUAGUCAGGAAAGAUCCCACAUGCAGUGGAGCAACAGUCCAUGAGCCACAACUGUUGAGGCUGUGCUCUAGACCCUGGGAACUUCAGCUAUGAGCCCAUGCUCCACAAUUACUGAAGCCCUUGUGCCCCAGAGUCCUGCUCUGCAUCAAGAGAAGCCACUGCAAGCAAGAGGAGCCCCUGCUUGCCACAACUAGAGAAAACUUCGACUCAGCUCAUCUCAGCCAAAAAUAAAUGCAUAUAUUAACAUAUAUAGAAAAACCAAUAUGCAAUAUUGACUGGGAUUUUUACCCUCUUCCUUAUCAACACAAAGGGCUUCCCCAGUGGCUCAGUGGUAAAGAAUCCACCUGCAAAGCAGGAGACACAGGAGACACAGGCUCCAUCCCUGGGUCAGGAAGAUCCCCUGGAGGAGGAAAUGGUAACUCUUUCCAGUAUUCUUGCCUGGAAAAUCCCAUGGAUAGGGGAACCUGGCUGGCUACAGUCGAUGCAGUUGCAAAGAGUUGAACCCAACUGAAGCAACUGAGCUCACAGGCACGAUCAAUGAAAAGACUUUAGAAUAUUUUUAUUUUAUUUAUCUCCCUCUGAUGUUACUAUUUUGAAUUUUAAAUCUGUAAUUUUAGGCAUAUAUAUAUAUGUAUUGUUUAAUAUGUAUGCUUUUUAUUGUUCUCCAUUUCUUCGUUCCAUUUCGAAUUAUUUUCCCUAUUUUCUUGAAGAACAUCCUUUUAGUAUCUCCUCUAGAGUGGGUCCUUGGUUUGGCUUCCUAGUUUGACUGAUGGAUAAACUGAAGACCACAGGUGUUGAGUGGCUGGAUGAGGUGCCCACGUCUUUGAAGCCGGGACUGCCACACAGACCACUGACUCCCAGCUUGUGGAGUCUUAGUUCCCAACUGGGGACUGAACCCCAGCCCGCGGCAGUGAAAGCUCUGAGUCUUAAUCACUCAGCUGCCACGAAAGUCCUUGAACUGCUCCUUUAUUUAUAUCUCUUUUCUAAAGGAUUUCAAUUGUACAGACUGCUUUUAUAGAAACACCAGCUUUUCCGUGAUGGGCAGAUUCAAUCACUUCAACACUCUUGUGAUCGUCCAAUGAGGCAACAAACAAAGUGCCCUGGAGGCUGGGAUGGAGGUUACUCGGAAACUCAGCAACAGGGGCUUCCGCUCACCCAGGUCAAUCUGGCUGCAGCCACUCCUGAGUGCCCAGUCUGCCAACAGCAGAGGCCAACACGCAACCUCCAACAUGGCCCCAUUCCCCAGGGAGUCAGCCAGCUGCCUGGUGACGUGUUGCUUAAAUUAUCCUGCUUCAAACAUGGAAGGGGUAGUGCCUUAUUUUACUAGGAGACAGUUACUCUGGAUAUGAGUUUUCCUUUCCUGCCUGAAAUGCUUCUACCUAAACCAUCAUCCACGGAUUUACAAAGUCAUUUUCCACUGCCAUGGUACUACACACUCCUGAGGAAUGCAUUUCAAAGAAAAUAAAAUGUGGAAGAGGGCCCAGGAUCACAGAGUUCACUAGUCUUCCCAUGUUCUUCAUUCUGAAACAAGAGCACAUUAAUACAUUCUCUGUUAGUUGAAGGUUAUCCCAGGUGGGGUUCCCUAGGAACAGAGUCUGAGACAGGGAUUCUAGUGCAAGUGAAUUACUGGAGGUGCUUUCAGGAGUAGCAGGUUAAGGAAGUAAGGGGAAGCAAGAGGUCUUGGAAAGAAGGCAGCAAAGAUAUCCUUAGUUGGAACCCAACCAGAUCUGAAUGCAGAUGACCACCUGCAAUUAAGCCUGCUUCAGGCAAGGGUGUGCGCGUGCUGUCUCUUCAGUCAUGUCUGACUGUUUGCAAUCCCACUAGGCUCCUCUGUUCAUGGGAUUCUCCAGGCAAGAAUACUGGAGUGGGUUGCCAUUUCCUUCUCCAGAGGAUCUUCCUGAUCCAGGAUUUGAACCCUGGUCUCCUGCAUUGCAGGCAGACUUUUUACCAACUGAGCUACAAAGGAAGCCCCCAAAGAACUGCACCCUCUGGGGUUCGAACUCUGGACCUACAGAUUAUGAGACUGAUGCGCUGCCUGCUGCGCUAAGAAGGCAGAACUGAGAAGCUCCUUGGGGCUUCCAUAUCAGGCCGUCAUUGGCUGCAGGACAAAGAGGGGACAAAGUUUCCAGACAACUCUAGAAAGCCAACUCCCUUGGGCAGAGGGUAGUUCUCCAGAGAAAGGAGAGCCCUGAGCCAUCAGCAACCAUUGCUUAAGAGUAAUCGGAGGAGGGGCUUCCCUGAUGAUCCAGUGGUUAAGAAUCAGCCCUUCCACUGCAGGGUAUAUAGGUUCCAUCCCUGAUCAGGGAAACUAAGAUUCACACAUACCCCAGGGCUUCUGAAGUCCAUGCAUUCUAGAGCCUGCGCAGCCUAAAGAAAGAAAAAAUAGGGCUUCCCUGGUGACUCAGAAGGUAAAAAAUCCACAUGCAAUGCAGGAGACCUGGGUUCGAUCUCUGGGUCUGGAAGAUCCCCUGGAGAAGGAAACAGCUACCCACUCCAGUGUCCUGACUUGGAGAAUUCCAUUGACAGAGGAGCCUGGCGGGCGACAGUCCAAGGGGUCGCAGAGAAUCAGACAGGACUGAGUGACUUUCACUUUCAGGAGUUGGGGGAUGGGUACACCAAGCUGAUGAGUCUGUCUGGGUGGGGUCCCACAAGCAUCCAUUCAAAGGGGAUCCUUCUUUUAAGCGUAGAAGAGAUUUGUUUGUGAGUCUGCUAACACAUUUUCUUUUAUUUGGAG
ensembl:lncRNA